UACGGAGGGGGCGAGCGUUGUUCGGAAUUACUGGGCGUAAAGCGCACGUAGGCGGUCAUGUAAGUCGGAUGUGAAAGCCCUCAGCUCAACUGAGGAACUGCGUCCGAUACUGCUUGGCUUGAGUCCGGUAGGGGAUGGCAGAAUUCCCGGUGUAGCGGUGGAAUGCGUAGAUAUCGGGAGGAAUACCGAUGGCGAAGGCGGCCAUCUGGGCCGGAACUGACGCUGAGGUGCGAAAGCUAGGGGAG
rnacentral:rRNA from 1 species